UCGACUCUUAUCCCUAAUUCAUCGACUGGUAAGCCAUUUUAGGUAGAAGCAGAGUAGUAGCAGAUACUCAUAGGAACACAUAAGAAAGGGUAAACCUUCUCUCUCGGUCUCUCAAUUUCGCCAACUGCUUUCUUUUACUCUCUGCGUUGCAUCUGCAAGGCCAGGGUUUUCUUUGAGCAAAGGUUGGAAAUGGAAAAUGGUGUUGAGCGAGUUGAUGGGUCACCUGUGGUAGAGAAAAACCAAGUGGAAGAUGAGGUAGCUGGGGAAAGGGUGGAGGUGAAGGAUGUGGAUGGCAGUGAUGAGUUGAAGGAUUUUGAAGAUGGUGUUUUUGAGGAGGCAGUGGAUUCCCAAGAGGUUGUGCAGAUCCAGGGAAUGAAUCCUGAUUCUGAAAACAUUGCUGAGAGUGUUGUUGAUUCAGGUCGUCCAGUGGCGGUUGAUGAAAAUUCUAAUAUAGGACACAAGACAGAGACUUUUGAGGAGAUGAUUGGGGUUUCUGGUGAGGAGGUGGAGGUGGCUGGAGCUGAAGUUGGCCUGGAAAAUGUGGAGGAUUUGGUGUCUGGGCUGAGUGCUGAUGGGGCUGUGGUGUCGGAUAACAUUGAUGAGGGAGGUACUGGGAAAGAAGUCACAAGUGAUGGAUUGCAUGAGAAAACUGAGCUGCCUGAAGCUGCUACUGACAGUACAACAAAAGUUUUAGAUACCUCCUAUGAAGUGGGUAUGAAAUCUUGUGUGGUACCAGAUGAUCCCGAAAUUGUAGACUCCCAUGAUUCCAGAGUAGAGGAAAAUCCAUAUGGUGAAAAUCUUGAAAAUGGGGAUAACAGUAUGACGAAGGCGAAUGCUGUUGAUUAUUGUCAAAAAAUCGAAUCUAUUAGAGAGAUUUUGCCUGCAGAUGCCAAGGGUGAGAAAUUGAAGGAUAAUAAUUUCGACACUGGUCACCAAGGUAUGGUGACAGGAAAACUGGUAGAUAUUUCAACAGGCAUUCCUAUUGUGCUGCAGGCUGAUAAAGAUGAAGUAAAUGGCAAUGUAGCUGGAAUUGAUGCAGAAUGCCAGGAUGACAAGAACAGGGAAUUGAAAGAUAGAAAUGGAAAUGGAAGUAAUGGGGAGGUGAGUGAUGCGCUGGCUGUAUUGGAUUUUGAGAAAAUUGGGGAAACUCAUGGAGUUAAUGAUGCAUCCGUUAACCCAGGCCCAUCAGUGAAAAAUGUAAUUGUGACUAAUGAUGUUCAAAGCUUGACUUCAGAAAAUUCAGCAAUUGAGAAAAAUGAGAAGAUUAAUGCUGUUGCGUCAGAUUUAAGCAGUGAUGAUAGUAAAGGUUCUCAACCUCAAGUAACAGAUGAAAAGGUUAAUGAAGAAGUCAGCCUCAGGUAUCUUUUAUCUAAGAAUGCUAUCAGGAAGGUGACAAAGGAUCAAGUAGAGAAUCAAAGGACUCAAGUGAGUACAGAACGUGAAAUUCAGCCUGAGGUAGAACUUGCUUCUUCCUCUGGAAAAUCUUCCAUUCCAGUUCCUCCUCCUGCUCGACCUGCUGGCCUUGGCAGAGCCGCACCUUUGCUGGAGCCUGCGCCUCGUGUAGUACAGCAACCCCGUGUAAAUGGAGCUGUUACUUCUGUGCAACCACAACAAAUUGAAGAUGGCGCUAAUGGGGAAGGAGAGGAAUAUGAUGAGACGCGCGAAAAGCUUCAGAUGAUAAGGGUGAAAUUUUUGAGGCUUGCUCAUAGGCUUGGGCAGACUCCACAUAAUGUUGUUGUGGCACAAGUCUUGUAUAGACUGGGAUUAGCUGAGCAGUUGCGAGGGAGAAAUGGGGGUCGUGUGGGUGCCUUCAGCUUUGAUCGAGCAAGUGCCAUGGCAGAACAACUUGAGGCUGCUGGGCAGGAGCCCCUUGAUUUCUCUUGCACAAUAUUGGUUCUCGGAAAGACAGGCGUUGGUAAAAGUGCAACCAUCAAUUCAAUAUUUGAUGAGGUUAUGUUUGGCACUGAUGCUUUUCACACUGGUACAAGGAGGGUUCAGGAUGUUGUGGGAACUGUGCAGGGGAUCAAUGUUCGUGUAAUUGACACACCAGGUCUUUUACCUUCUUGGUCUGACCAACGGCAGAAUGAGAAAAUUCUCAACUCUGUUAAGUGUUUUAUCAAGAAAACACCUCCAGAUAUUGUGUUGUAUCUUGAUAGAUUGGACAUGCAGAGCAGAGAUUUUGGUGAUAUGCCUCUCCUGCGCACAAUCACUGAGAUAUUUGGACCAUCUAUAUGGUUUAAUGCAAUAGUGGUUCUGACUCAUGCUGCUUCUGCCCCACCUGAUGGUCCCAAUGGUGCUGCUUCAAGCUAUGACAUGUUUGUCACUCAACGUUCUCAUGUUGUCCAGCAAGCCAUUCGUCAGGCGGCUGGGGAUAUGCGUCUCAUGAACCCUGUUGCAUUAGUAGAGAACCACUCUGCAUGCAGAACAAAUAGGGCUGGACAGAGAGUGUUGCCAAACGGUCAGGUUUGGAAGCCCCAUUUGCUUCUGUUGUCUUUUGCAUCAAAAAUUCUUGCUGAAGCAAACACUCUUUUGAAGUUGCAAGAUAGUCCACCUGCAAAGCCAUUUGUGCCACGAUCAAGGGCACCUCCUUUACCGUUUCUUCUGUCAUCACUUCUUCAAUCAAGACCACAAGUUAAGCUGCCCGAAGAGCAGUUUAGCGAUGAAGAUGAUCAAGAUGAUGAUUUGGAUGAGUUGUCAGAUUCUGAUGAUGAAGGCUACGAUAAUUUGCCACCAUUUAAGCGGUUGUCAAACGCCCAGGUGGCAAAGCUAACUAAAGCUCAGAGUAAGGCAUAUUUUGAUGAAUUAGAAUACAGGGAAAAACUUUUUAUGAAGAAACAGUUAAAGGAAGAGAAAAGGAGAAAGAAGAUGAUAAAGAAAAUGGCUGCGGCAGCAAAGGAUAUGCCAAGUGACUACAGUGAAAGUGUAGAAGAAAGUGGCGGUGCUGCAUCUGUGCCAGUCCCUAUGCCAGAUCUGGCCUUGCCUGCCUCUUUUGAUUCUGAUAAUCCCACUCACCGAUACCGUUAUCUUGAUUCUAACAACCAGUGGCUUGUACGGCCUGUUCUUGAAACUCUUGGUUGGGACCACGACGUUGGUUACGAAGGCAUAAAUGUAGAAAGGUUAUUUGUUGUCAAAGACAAAAUUCCUUUGUCUUUCUCUGGCCAGGUUACAAAGGAUAAGAAGGAUGCGAAUGUUCAGAUGGAAUUAGCCGGCUCAAUAAAGCAUGGGGAGGGGAAAGUGUCAUCCUUAGGUUUUGAUAUGCAAACUGUUGGGAAGGAUUUAGCUUAUACCCUACGAGGUGAGACAAGGUUCUUUAACUUCAAGAAGAAUAAAGCAACGGGUGGUCUCUCAGUUACCCUCUUGGGCGAUGCCUUAUCUGGCGGAGUGAAAGUUGAAGACAAGUUAGCUGUUAACAAAAGGUUCCAAAUUGUUAUGACUGGUGGUGCAAUGACUGGUCGUGGUGACGUUGCUUAUGGUGGUAGCCUGGAGGCCCAAUUGAGAGACAAGGAUUAUCCUCUUGGUCGUUCACUGUCAACUCUUGGGCUUUCCGUGAUGGAUUGGCAUGGAGAUCUUGCUGUUGGAUGUAAUAUACAAUCCCAAAUACCUUUAGGACGAUCAACAAACUUGAUUGGUAGGGCCAAUUUGAAUAACAGGGGAGCAGGACAGUUGAGUAUCCGUCUAAACAGCUCAGAACAACUUCAAAUUGCUUUGUUUGGCCUCAUCCCCCUAUUGAAAAAGCUACUUGGUUAUUACCAGCAAAUGCAGUUUGAAUGAUCAAAAUUUUGUCGUAGGUGCUGCAGCAGCUGUAUGCCUCAACAGGAAAUAAUGACUGAACCAGACUAACCAUUCACGUUGUGGGUCUUUAAAAUGGCCUUGAUGGUGGGUAAUCCGCUGUUACUGUAGUUAUCUGUUUUUAUAUGUUACUCUAGAUCCUUGCUUAAUGCGUCUUUUAUAGUUCACAUCUAAUUCUUAUCUAUUAUCUAUUGGUUUGGGAGGUGUGUCAUAUCAAACCAAACUUUGUGUUUUCUCCAUCAGUUUUCUAUCAUCCCCUUUAUUUAUAGAUUAAUGUCUAGUUUUUAUGUAAAUCUGAUGAACCUUUUGAUCUAUGAUAAAGCCAUAGUCU